UUGUUUUUCCUUAGCUCUUGGGAUUGGCUAAUAGAAGAUCUCUGCUGUGAAGCCCAUCUACAACAUGGCAGGGUCAUUUUUUCCCUCUGGCAAAGGAGUUUUUGUUUGCAACAGGUGAGGAUGAGUUGGUGCAAACAGCAAGCCUUGUGUAAUAGUAACUCCACCAAAUUUGAGGGUCUUUAUCACAGAACCUCACUCAGCGACUCAUACAAAAGAGGAUAAGAAACUGAUCUCUGGAAAGGAAGCACAGAAAUCUUCUGAGCUUGUGCCAGACCCCAGUGAAGUCCAAGUGAGGGCCCAUGUGCUCCAUCCUUGUCCUUUCCUGUUAACACAUGGAAUGCAAUGGGACAGCAGUCCUACUAAGAGCCUCUAGGGGCUACUGCAGUUCAAUAAAUCACAAUAUAUAAAAUGCAAACCCAGUUUUGAGUCUGAUAUGGGCUGUGUUAAUCUCUGGUGUGCUAUCUUGGACUUCAGAAGAGUUACAUUCAAUGGAAUAUUGCCCACUGAGCCUUUGCUGACUGCUCUCGCAUUGCCACGAAGGAUAAAGAAUCACAUAAUACUCCUGAGGGCACCUGUGCACUGCUGGCAUUGGACACCACUGGUGGAGGAAGCAGCGUGGCAAUCUUCUGCUAACAGCUCAGCUGAAUCCCAGGAUUCUGAGGAAGAAGAAAUGACUGAGCCCAGCACAAGUGGUCUGUAAAGCUGGAAGGGGCCUUCUCCACUGGGAUGAUCACAUGUUUGUGUACUCCCACACUCACAAAAUAUAAAAUUGUGAAAACAGAGAAGAGGAUUUUGAUAAUCUGUGUAGACAAUUCAGAUGUUUCAUAACAGUCCCCUGGACAAAGGCAGUAAGGUGGAGCCAUGCUAAGUCAAGAGACCUAAAGUUUUUUCCAAGAACUCUUACUUUAACAUACCAGAACUCAUGUCCUUCAGUUUUAACCUGAUAGAGUUAUGUAUAAUUGAUGUAGGGGUUGAGAAAGUCAUCUGACAUCAGCAUAAGGAAAAUGUUAAGCUUUCUCAGUUUCUAGCACAUGAUUUUUAAGAUGUUUUAAUCCUCUCCUUUUCAAGUGUGGAUUUACUGGGGAGGUCGAGGGGUCAUUAACACUUCCUCUGCUCCUCCACCAAUAACAGGCAAACUCAUCAAGGACUGGUGUUGGAUAGUGUUAUUUCAUUACUGCACAUACCUGUAUUUGGCUUUUUUUCCUUCAGCCAAGUUCUCAUCAUCCUAUUUCUUUAAUAUUAUUUGAAGUUUAGAAGUUGUCUUUAAUUUAAAUACCAUCAGCUCAAGGCUCCAAUAACAGACCUUACUGUUUUUAGACGUUGCAGAUGUUCUAGGAGGAAGAAAGGAGGCUUGCCCAAAAUUGUUUUGCUUACUACUGCAAGGACCAGAGCCACAAUGGAGAAGACGUUUCACCCUGUUGCACCAAUGCACGUGCCUCUGUGAGCAGUAGAGAGGGGCAAGAUCAUCACUAGGCAGCCUCUUGUUGCAGAUUGACAAAACAGAUGAAACUACAAUGGGGUAACUGGCACCAUAUCAAACAUGGUAAAGCAAGGAUAGCUCCUCUGCCUGCUGUAGUGGCAGGCUGAUACCUGCCUACAUAUCUUUUUUUGAAAGUCACUCAAGGAUGCACAGUUUUAUACAGCCAAAUACCCCUCUCUAUGUAAAUGUAUUUAGUCAGUGUCAUUUUAUGGUUAUGUAUGUGAAGGCAGAAGAAUAUGGCAUCACUAAGUGCACCCUCAGACACCAAGUGGAGGGGUAUGGUUGCCACACCUGAAGGAAGGGAUGCCAUCCAGAGGGACCUGGACAAGUGCAAAAAGUGGUUGCAUGGGCAUCUCAUGAGAUUUAAGAAGACCAAGUACAUGGUGCUGCACCUGGAUCAGAGCAACCUGUACUAUCAAUACAGACUGGGGAUGAACAGAUCAAGAGCCAGCCAAGAAGAGCUUGGGGGUGCUGGUGGAUAAGAGGCUGGGCAUGGCCUGGCAGUGUGCACUUGCAUCCCAGUAAACCAAUCAUACCCUGGGCUGCAUCCAAAGCAGGGAGGGGAUUUUGCCUCUCUGCUCUGCUCUCAUGAGUCCCCAUCUGCAGUUCUGCAUCCAGCUUUGAGGCCCUUAGGACAGGACACACUUUGACUUUUUGGAGUGAGUCCAGAAGACAGCCACUAAGAAGAUGAAAGGAAAAGAGUACCUCUCCUGUGAGAAAAGGGGAAAAGAAUUCCUGCAGAAGAGAAGACUUCAGGGUGAUGUGUCUGUGGCCUUCCGGUACCUGAAGGGAGACCACAAGACUGGUGGAGAGAGGCUGUCUACAAGAGCAUGACAGGACAUGGCUUCAAACUGACAGAGAGUAGGUUUAGAUUAAAAGAAGUUGUCUAAGGGUGGUGAGGCACUGAACGGGUGUCUUAGGUUGCAAAUGCAAGAUGUGGCUGGGGGUGUGUAUGCUAUUGCAAACUGUCAGAACCAGGUGGGGCAGUUUUCUUUAUCUCCUCCACAACCCAUCCUCCCUCCAGGAAGACAUCUUCUGUUAAUGGGCCAUUGAGUGUCACUGCAUGACUGACAAAAUUACAUCAUCUCAUUGUGAGAUGCUCCACCCAGGGGGAGGAGCCAAACAUUCUUACCUGGAUAUAAUCUGACAUUUAGAACACCAGUCUUCUCACACUGGAUUCCCAGAGAAGCAGCCUUUUCUUCACUGUGGUCCCAGAAGAAGACCAGGCCCAUCUACACCACCACUGGGCCUUCAGAAGAAAACUACACCCUUCUACAGGAUCAUUGCUCCAACAGAACCACAUCUGUCACUGCAGGAGCACUGCAGCCACCAUCCAACUGGACUGUUACCACCACCCUGACCCACAGGGUCUCAGGUCAUAUUCUGACUGUCAGUGUUGUUUUGUAUUACUGCAUUUUUGUUUUUACCUUUAUUUUUUGUAAGAAAGAACUGUUAUUCCUACUCCCAUAUUUUUUUGCAUGAGAGCCCUUUAAUUUCAAAAUUAUAAUCAUUCAGAGGGAGGAGGUUUAUAUUUUUCAUUUCAAGAGAAGCUCCUGCCUUCCUUAGCAGACACCUGUCUUUUCAAACUGAGACAACGGUUUUCCCAGAGAAGUUGUUAAUGUCCCAGGAAGCUCAAGGCCAGGCUGGAAUAGGCUCUGAGCAACCUGGUCUAGUGAAAGAUGUCCCUGCCCGUGAGAGGAGGGUUGGAGCAGGAUGAUUGUCAAGGUCUCUUCAAACCCAAAUCAUUCUGUGAUUCUAGGUAUUUUGGAUCACUUCCUCUCUGGAAAUACAAAAAAAAAACAAACCCAAACCGCAACCCACGUACACUAAAUAUAUGAAGUUGGAAAGGAACUAACUUCUGUUAAAUACUUUAAUGCAAUAGAAACUGAAAUGAUGACCAUAUGAUGAGUAGUGAAUGCAAGUUAUAUGAAGAAAAUGGCACAUCACCUCAACAUUAAUUACUUAAUGACACAAAACUGAUGAUAUAGAAACUGCUGUAGGUGCUCAAAGCUGAGUAUAGUCAGGCUAGUGUAACACUGAACUCCAAACAUAUAUUUGACAUUCUGCCAGAGGUAAUAUUCUUCUUUUUUUUUUCUCCCUUCUUGAGAUGAUUUCUUUUUCAUUCUUGUUUUUUGCUUCCUUCAGAUAUCUUCGUUUUCUCCAGCCUAACCCUCCUGGGACAGACAAAGAUAGAAAAACUUCAGUUAGCUGUUAUUUCAUUCUGCUUCAUUUAGCCUCUUAAAGUUGCUUACUUGCUUCAGAGACAGUCACUUUCUGGUAUGUGAGGACAAGAUGUUAUGAGGCACAUAGUAGUAUAGUACACCGAAGUUUUGAUCUAUUGUUAGAAAUGGAUGUAGGAAGAGAGGAAAAGGUUGAUCUUUUCUAAAGGAUAGAUUUAUAUAUUUAUAUCAAGGACUCUUUACAGGAGUAAACAGAAGUUAAAGGUACCACAGCUCAAGAAAAAUGGGUCAGGUGAAACUUACUAGUUUUCCUCUGACUUAGGCAAACUAGCUACCAGCCCUGUUUAGUGUUAGACAUAGGUUAAAACUUUCUGUGUGAUCAUUAUUUUCUUCCAAAACCAGGGUUACCACAACUUCCAUGUAGCUACAGGCCAUUGUCACAUGAUGUCAGUUUCAUGGCUUUCUCAGUGAGAGUUUGGCUCUUCUCAUCCCCAACUACCCCUUCUGGAGAAAAGCUGAGCAGAUCCCUGGCAAUUUGCUGAGUUGUUCUGGCCAUGAUUUGCAGAGAGUCCAUCACCUGCUGACAUAUGCCUGCCAUUCAUCUUAUAUUAAUCCCUCACUCAAGUCUCUUAUUCACAAAAAGGGGGUUGGAAGCAAAAAAGAUCAUAUUAUUUUUCCCUUCUAGAUAUCUUUUAAAUGUGACCUUUUGUCUCCUGCUCAGGUUUGUUUAUGUACAUUGGCACAUCAGAAAAGUGACUGGCAAUGUUAAAUACUGUGAUUUGAAUUAGUGGUUUGUGUAGCAUCCAAAUACUCUGAAUAAAGUACAUUACAAAAAUGCUGGAAAUUGACAUUACAUCUAUGUUUAUGCACAUUUCAGUUGCCAAGAAAAGAGCAGUUUGGCUGGAGGAUCCAACAAAAUCUGCUUAGUGGGUCUUCCUUGGCGAGAGCCCACUAAGCAGAUUGCUUUCACACAGUACUCCCUUAAUCACUGUAAAGAGGUUUCAGAGAGAUUAAUAAUAACUAGUGCAGUUGUUACACCCACGCACAGUGACUCAGACACACAGCCCAGGGAGAGUCUUUACCUGUGUGGGCCACACAGACACAUGCCAAUAUUUAGUCCAAUAAAGUUGUCUUUCCAGCAGCAUGAAUGAUAAUCUUGGAGGUAGAUGAUGACAGGGCCUGUCAAGCAAGCCCCUAUACUGAGACACAGCCCAAUAUAUAACAGCAUCUCACUAGAGCCACAUUAAAGACUGCAGUGAAAUCCUCUCACUCUCUCUCCCUUUCUCUCUCAAAUAUCAGCACCACUGAUUAAAACAAAAUAAUACCUAGUCCCAGCGUCAUGCUGUGCUGCAGUGAGAGGACUCUAAGAGUAAUGAGGGCCCAUUUGGUUUAAAUGAAUUUUUGGCGAGUGUUUCUGAGCGCAGGGUGAGGCAGCUGGCUGUUCGUCAGGCACGAUGCAGGCAGGAGGUGAUCAGACAGUGCUGUGCCAGCGGGGGGUGGUGGAGGAGUUCUGAGCUGCUGCUGCUCCUCAUGCUAAAUGUGUGCAUAGUCUUGGUGCUACUGACUGUGCUGGCCACAGCAGACACCCAUCUAUGGUUUUGUCUCUUUUGGACCUGUUAUUUAGCUUAAAUUUUGUGGGGUUUUUGUUAUCUCAUCCCCUGUGUCUGACAUAAAAGAGCAGCAAUUGUGAUGUGAUUAACCUCCCUGGGAACAGGGAGUGCUCAGGAAUACUCUAUCCAAGUCUUUAGUCAGCUACAGAUUAUCAGAGAAUAAUAAUUCAGUGGCCAUUACAGAGCAAGUUCCAUGUAGAAAUCGGAGUUAAAUAAUUAUGGAUUGCCUCCGGCUUGCAACUCAUUUGAUAGCAAAGCUCCUAUUGACUUCAAUGGCACGAGAGAUUGUGGAAGCCUUGGAAUAAAGGCAGGAGUAAGUCAACCAUAACAUUAUCUAUGGAAAUAAAAGCCUUCCAACAAGACAGACAGAGAUAAAUUGAGGACAAUUAGGAAGUAUUUGAGCUCUCAUUCCUACCUGAAAUGUCGUAAGUCAGGCUCUGAAUUAAUUAAUUUUAUGGUCAAAAAGCCAUAAAGCAAUAAGUCACUUUGGAGAGGAAGAGAAAAGCCAGAUCCUGUUUGGAUAACUUGAUCUCCUUCUAUGAGAAGGUAACCCAGUCGGAUGAGGGAAAGACUUGUGGCUGUUGUUUCCCUGGAUUUUAGCAAAGAUUUUGACACUGUUUCCUACAGUAUUCUCCUAGAAAAGCUGGCUGCUGACAGCUGAGAUGGGUAUACUCUGGGUAAAAGCCUGUCUGGAUGGCCUGGCCCAGAGAAUUAUGAUGAAUGGAGUUAAAUCCAGCUGGUCACUGGUGGUAUUCCCUAGGACUCUGUUCUGGAGCCAUUACUGUUUAAGGUUUUUAUCCAUGAUUUGGGCAAGGGGAUCAGGUGCACCCUCAGUCAAUUUGCAGAUGAUGUUAACAGUGCUGAUCUACUGGAGGGCAGCAAGGCUCUGCAGAGAGGCUGGAUCAAUGGGCCAAAGCCAAUUGUAUGAAGUCCAACUAGAUGAGGCACUUAGGUCAUCACAACCCUGUGCAGCAAUACAGGAAGAGUGGCUGGAAAGCUGCCUGGCUGAAAAGGACCUGGAGGAGGUGAUUGACAUCCCCUUACUGCAAGCCAGAAGGUGUUCAGGUGGCCAAUGGCAUCCUGGCCUGCAUCAAGAAUAGUGUGGACAGGAAUAGCAGGACCAGGGCAGUGAUCAUCCCCCUGUACUCAGCACUGAUGAGGCCACACCUUUAAUCUUGUGUUCAGUUUUGGAUGCCUCAUUACAAGAAAGACAUUGAGGUGCUGGAGCCUAGAGGAGGGCAGCAUAGCUGGAGAAGCAUCUGGAGCACAGUUUUGUUUGUUUGUUUUUUUCUUUUUUAGGGGUGGCUGAGGAAUCUAAGGUUGUUUAGCCUGAAGGAAAGAAGGCUUAGGGAAGUUUUACCAUACCAGCUGCCUGAAGGGAAGCUGUAGUCAGCUCAGGGCCGACCUCUUCUGCCAAGUGACAGAUGAAAGGAUGAGAAGAAAUAGCCUCAAGUUACACCAGGGGAGAUUUAGAUUUGAUAUUAGGAAAAAAUCUUCACUAAAAUGGUUGUCAAGCAGUGGAACAGGCUGCCCUGGGAAGUGGUUAAGUCACCAUCUCUGGAUGUAUUUAAAGGACAUGUAGAUGUGGUUCUUUGAGACAUGGUUUAGUGAUAGACUUGACAGUGUUACAUUUGUGGUUGGACUCAAUGUUAUCAAAGGUAUUUUCUAACCUAAAUUAUUCUAUGAUCCUUUUCCAUGAAAGCAGUAGAAACUUCUUUUCUGACCUUCAAUGUUGCCCUGUGGAGAGGGGGCACAGGAUUUAUUUGGGGCAGUACAAUGUUGUCCGGCUUACCUAAGGUUUUCUUUUCAAGUGGUUUCUCUAACCCCUCCACCCCCAGGCCAAAUCACACAGAGAAAAUUACAGGAAUAUGGAGAGGGGAAAUUCACAACAAAGUGUGAAGUACAAUGUGAAACUGGAAAAAAGGUUUGGUUUUCUUGUUUUAAGAGAGGAAGUCAAACAGAGAUUGAACUUGCACUUUUGUUUAAAGUUUUUGUCCUUUUGGCAACCUGCAGAAAACUCAAAAAACUUCAAUAGUCAGAAAAAUUUUUAGACCAGAAAUCACAUCAAUAAAUUUCUGCUAUCCAUCCCAAAGUUGUAUUAGCUCACUCCCACAAUUUUUGCUAUGAAGUAGGCUGCUUCUUUAAAUUCACAGUAUUCAGUGCUGUCAUUGUCUGCACUGUACACAGCUAAUCAGUUUAGUUACAGACUGGCUGGAUAAGACUGUUUCAGUAGCCAGUCCCCUAAAUGGAUCUACAGACCCUAAAAUAAAUUAGCAACUCAUAUAUUAUUUUAAAUUCCAGGCUAUUUGCUAGAAAGUAACAGGCAAUACAUAUGAUAAAGUGUGAAAGUGCCUGCAUUUAUGAAACAUGAGUGUGGCAAAAUAGAACUGAUUUUUUGUUUUUUUCAAAUCUCUACAUAUUUAUUGAAAUUGGCAACUUCAAUUAAUUUACUUAGUUGAAUUAAUUUGACUUAGGUGCAAGCCACAUGUGUUUUAGAAUUGUGUAAGUUGUUUGUCUCACUUGUUUUGCAUAAUCUGUCAGAAGCUACAUUGCAGAGGGCUCCAAAGAUCCUUUGUGGCAUAAAUGGCAUGAUGUGCUAUUAUGUACAGAAACCUCUCUUCACCUGAAGUAGCUUUUCAUGUAUUGUCAAGACUUUCCUACUCAACAGGAAGAGUUUCAAAAUAAGAAAGAAUAAACGGCUCAGCCUAUAGUCGUGUUUUAAUACAGUAGAAAAAAAGAACAAGUAAAUUGAUAAAAAGGUUGGAAAGAUGAAGGGAACAGGGAGCAAGGGAGAAGAGGCUGGCAUGAUCAAUAGUUUGCCGAAGGAAGCACUGCUGCUGUGAGGUCUGCACUCAGUUAUGAGAUAAGAGAGAAUGAUAGAACUUCACCACUAGAAGCCACAUAAGGUCAGAGAAAACCCACAGAGAGUGCGGGCUGUCCAGUGUGCCAUGUGCAAUAGCAGUGAUUAGGUGGUUUAAUGGUAACACAACUACAGAAAAAGUGUAGCUUAGAAGUCACUGUUUAAAUUUAUGAAAAAGUAGUGUCACUAAAAUAGUUAUGGGGGUGAAUUUUUUUUUCCCCUGCAUUCAUUUAUAACAUUUCUUUAUAAGUAAAAAUCUCUCUGCUAAACACUAGGAAGAAUAAUUUCAAAAUACAUAACAUAUUGAGACAUGGAUACUUCAUAGAUUUAUAGUUGCCAGUAAUUUAGUAUCUGAAUUUCCAGCAACGAACAUUUAAAUAGUUAAUAUGAGCAUGUAGUCCAUUUCUUUCCUGUCCACAAAUCUGCUUGAAUAUUCCUUCCUUUUCAUUUUAACUUACUCUAAGGAUAAUUUCCAAAAACUGUUGGUUGUUUGUGAUCAUCUUUCUGUAGGUUUUCAAAAAAAUCCAAAAAACCUCAAUCAAACAAGUUUGGAUUAUGUUAUUCACAUGUUAUUCACAUGUUAUUUCUGUGACACUACUGAAUAAGUAUGUGUCUGUGAAAGUGUUUGGUAGAAAUUUAAAGGAUUCCAAACCUGCUAUCAGUAAAAAUCUUAAAUAUUGACUGUUCUGAAGUACAUUUUUGACAGUAAUUUUUUUCUGCCAGAAUAUUUAUAGGAAGCAAACAUAAAAUGAACAGAAACACGUAAAUUUAAAAAAAAAUUAAAAAAAAACAACUUUGCCAGUUCUUUUCAGAUAGCUGCAAUAGUUCAUUAUCUUCUUCUUCCAAGUGGUGAAAAAUUCCUAUUCUAGUUGGUUUUUGAUGACGUAAACCAAAACUAUGUUCUAAUUGCCUUUGCAAAUCACUGUAGUGCUUAAUUUUUUUUCUUAAGAAUU